GAUGAACGCUAGCUACAGGCUUAACACAUGCAAGUCGAGGGGCAGCAUGACGAUAGCUUGCUAUUGUCGAUGGCGACCGGCGCACGGGUGAGUAACGCGUAUCCAACCUUCCCGUUGCUAGGGGAUAACCUUGCGAAAGUAAGACUAAUACCCUAUGAAGUUCUUCGCAGGCAUCUAAAGAGAACGAAAGAUUUAUCGGCAACGGAUGGGGAUGCGUCUGAUUAGGUUGUUGGCGGGGUAACGGCCCACCAAGCCAUCGAUCAGUAGGGGUUCUGAGAGGAAGGUCCCCCANAUUGGAACUGAGACACGGUCCAAACUCCUACGGGAGGCAGCAGUGAGGAAUAUUGGUCAAUGGGCGAGAGUCUGAACCAGCCAAGUAGCGUGCAGGAUGACGGCCCUAUGGGUUGUAAACUGCUUUUAUAAGGGAAUAAAGUGAGCCUCGUGAGGUCUUUUUGCAUGUACCUUAUGAAUAAGGACCGGCUAAUUCCGUGCCAGCAGCCGG
rnacentral:rRNA from 1 species